rnacentral:rRNA from 1 species
GAUGAACGCUAGCUACAGGCUUAACACAUGCAAGUCGCGGGGCAGCAUGGAUGUCCUUUCGGGGACAUCUGAUGGCGACCGGCGUACGGGUGAGUAACGCGUAUCCAACCUGCCCUUUACAACGGGACAGCCCGUCGAAAGGCGGAUUAAUACCGUAUGUUGUCAUGUUGAUGCAUAUUUUCAUGACCAAAGGCUUCGGCCGGUAAAGGAUGGGGAUGCGUCUGAUUAGCUUGCCGGCGGGGUAACGGCCCACCGGGGCGACGAUCAGUAGGGGUUCUGAGAGGAAGGUCCCCCACAUUGGGACUGAGACACGGCCCAG